UACGUAGGGUGCGAGCGUUGUCCGGAAUUAUUGGGCGUAAAGGGCUCGUAGGCGGUUUGUCACGUCGGGAGUGAAAACACCGGGCUUAACUCGGUGCUUGCUUUCGAUACGGGCUGACUAGAGGUAUGCAGGGGAGAACGGAAUUCCUGGUGUAGCGGUGAAAUGCGCAGAUAUCAGGAGGAACACCGGUGGCGAAGGCGGUUCUCUGGGCAUUACCUGACGCUGAGGAGCGAAAGUGUGGGGAGCGAACAGG
rnacentral:rRNA from 1 species